AUAAUCCUGCACAGUUGAGUGCGUGUAGCGGCCGUCCUUGUCCAAGUGGCACUCGCCGUCGUUCGGGGUAAUAACACCUCCCAGCUUGCCAUCGCCCGCAUAGUGAAAACCGGCGUCAGUUGAAAAAAGUAGUAGUCGACGGGCUUUCUCGCGCCAACCAAUCUGCUCCCGACACACUAUAGCCUGCAUGAUUGCGUCAAACCCGCCUUCAGGUGCGUCUAGAUUACCUGAAACAUGUGCCCCGCGUACCUCUUGCUGUAAGCCGUGCCAAAAACGAGAAAAGAUAAAGAUUCAAAAUGGCAUACACGGAGGGACCUCUUAACGAACGAACGAAAUCGAAACGAAACGCGGGGCAACGGUGGUCCUGCGACUGUUGGUGGCCAACCACUUCGUUAGCGUCGAGCGACAGAGGACGGCCUCCACGUGAAGAGCAACCAACGACACAUAGACGAUGGUCAUCGUCGACUAGCGCAGGGUGUAGCAAGCAGGUUCUGCAUUGUCUUCUACAAUGUGCCUAUAGAUCCCCUCGGCGUCUGCCGGGCGUCUUUCCCACUGCUAGAGUGUUUCCAGCAGGCGUGGAGAGAAGAGCAGAGACGGAUGACGGAAGCCGUCGCCGGAGCACCUGCGGUGGAACAGCGAAUGGUGCUACGCAGGCACAGUCGAAACGUACGGCAUAAGCACCUUAUCGACAAAGGAGCCGAAACCGAGUUUGAAGUUACUGGUGAUUUUACGCAUCUCGGAUGCAAGAUCGGCACCUAACGUUGACAAGAUAGCUUUGUCAUCUUCCAUCGACUUUGACAGAUCCAUGAGAUAGUAAAGAUCGACCGGAUAGUCCUCCGCCUGGGCGUAGUUCACGCUAAGUCGAUAUACUUCAUCUGCAAGAUAAAUCUUCCUGGUAUGACGAGCUUUGAGACGACUGAUGGUAGGAAUAAGAAGACGACGACGACGACACGUGAUGACUUUCAGAGUAGUAUGGUUCACGGUCACUGUAACCGACAUCAUCCAGUCGACUAGAAGCUUUGGUUAAUUGUCGUCCCUGGAUCAGCUUGAACGAGUUGCUUGGAUCGACGGUGAACUCCUCCGGGCAGUAGUUCCCGAUCUGGCCAUGGCAUCGUGGUUGCGUGAAGUUGGGAAGCUUGCACCAUCGACAGUUGGUCGUUUGGAUGCACUGACUGCAGGUUGUCUUGCCCGGACAGGUGUUUUGCUGGUAGGCCGCCAAGUCACCAACAGCAUAACCAACGAAAAGUAAUUCGAACUUCAGAGCCACUAACAGUAGUACGGAAUAGCGUAUAGUAGGUCGAUGUUGCAACAUUUCUAUGGUUUGAUGAUGGGAGGUUUUAUCGAGGGGCGAUGGAUAAUUUGACGUUGAUGUUGAAUUUAAUAACUAAAGUAACGGGGUGCUGAAAACGCGCACUGCAAAAAUA